rnacentral:ribozyme from 1 species
CAGUUUUUUUUUUUUUUUUUUUUUUUUUUCUUC